AUGAAACGGGGAGUCGAACACCCAAUCACCGUCGCCGGCAGCUGCAAGGCAGAGCACCAGACGAGAGUUGACGAAACAAAGGCGCCGAAAACCCCGGAGAAGGCCAAGAGGAUACAGAACCAUGCAUCGGUCAAGGAUAUGAGUCUCCAUAGCCCAUGGCAUAUCACUGGCACCAAGAAUGGGAUCCCGAUCCCCUCGCAUCAGCGGCUGAAGCCCUCCACACCUGUACCCGAGCAAGCUGCCAAAGAUGAGAUCAGACCAAAACAAUCCACUGUCGAACCACCACCAACUCCACCACCACUUGAGCACUUCCCUGACGACGCCUUCAAGAAGGGUCACACUACCCAGGUGCCGUCGUCGCCAUGA
rnacentral:rRNA from 1 species